GGGCGUAUGGUCUAGAGGUAUGAUACCUGCUUUGGGUUGAAUAAACCUAUUGCAGGGGGUCUUCGGUUCGAAUCCGGAUUCGCCCC
rnacentral:tRNA from 1 species